GAGAAAGGGCUGAGGACUGGGAGGCUGCGGCGGCUGCCGGCUCGUACCGCCGCUAGCUCGAGAGGAGGCGCGGCCGGAGCCGCGGGGACCGUGCCACCAAGAACGGAGAAGGCGCGGAGACCCCCGGACCGCGCGCACAGAGAAAAACGCGGCGGCCGCCCAAGCUGUCACCUCCAACCUCUCCCCUCGCGGCCGCCUCUGCCAGAAGCCAGAGCCGGACUCACUGACAAGCCGCAGAGAGAGACACACUGAGAGGGAGAUGAUUAUUAGUUGCGUUGAGUCAUCAGGCAAACCCGUUAUUCCCAGGAGCUUUAUGUAACCUCAGUACAAAUUGGAGCACCAAGAUCUGCAGGCUUUGCCUCAAGAAUAACAGCAUCAGAGCCUCUCUCCUGACCCCAAGGACUUCAGGGAGGAUCUAGAAGCUUUCAAGGUGCGACUCCUGUUUUAAGAACAGCCUGGAAGAGAAGCAAGGACAAGGAGUAAGGGGGUGGCCGGAUGAGAAGUACUGUGCUGGGUGUGUGUGAAAAGGUGGUGACGAAAUCCACUAUUCUGUAUGCGAACUAAACAUUUUAAUAAAAGAACACAAAUCCAGGG